AAUCAACGCUGGCGGCGUGCCUCAGACAUGCAAGUCGAACGAUUAAAGCUCCCUUCGGGGAGUGCAUAGAGUGGCGCACGGGUGAGUAACACGUAAGUAAUCUACCUUUGAGUGGGGAAUAACGUUCGGAAACGGACGCUAAUACCGCAUAAUGCAGCGGCAUCGCAAGAUGACAGUUGUUAAAGGAGCAAUCCGCUUAAAGAGGAGCUUGCGGCAGAUUAGCUUGUUGGUAAGGUAACGGCUUACCAAGGCUACGAUCUGUAUCCGGUCUAAGAGGACGGUCGGACACACUGACACUGAAUAACGGGUCAGACUCCUACGGGAGGCAGCAGUCGGGAAUUUUGGGCAAUGGGCGAAAGCCUGACCCAGCAACGCCGCGUGAAGGAUGAAGUAUUUCGGUAU
rnacentral:rRNA from 1 species